AGCGUGGAAGGGUCUCAAAAACAUGACGCUGAGUGACAGAAGCCAGACCCCAAAGGACCGCAUCUCACGGGAUUCCAUCUCUAAGAAACGUCCGGAGUGAGCAAACCCACAGGAACGGAAAGCCCAGGGCUGGGGCUGGCGGGGGCGGGAGGAACGAGGAGUGCCUGAUCUCCCCAGGCGUCGGGCUUUCUCCUUGGGUUGAUGGGGGUAUUUUGGGAAGAGAGGUGGUGGUUGCACAGCAGUGAGAAUGUACCGAGCGCCACCGAAAUGCACACUUAAAAAGGGCCAGAAUCAUUACGUAGAUCUUGACCGCGCACACACGGAAAACGAUGACAACACUCCCGCCCCCUCCCUUCCUUCCGCUGGAGUCGAGUUCGGAAGUGAAGGACAGAGACAAGAAAGCUGCUCAGAAGCAUCUGGUAGAAGCAUCUGGAAGGGAAUGGGAGGGCAGGCCAGGUGGGGAACUCCCCAGGGCCCGUGUCCCAGCCUAGGAAGGUGGUUGCGUCGAGGCUCCUGAAUGGCUGCCUCAAGACCUGUGGGCGCCAGGAGAAAGGCCAGGCAGGGCGGGGUCCCCAAAUGCCAGGGCGGAAGCCAGAACAAUGGUGUCCCCUGCCUUUGGACCCCUUCCAAGGUUCGCAUUUUCCAUGGAGAUAGCACUCAUGAGAACUGGCAGGGAGAAGACAACGCUGGGUUUCCCCGGUGCCCGCCGUGAAGUGGCUGCGUGAUGUGCCGCUGCGUGGCCAGCCCCACGCCCACUCCCUGCACACACCUGGCUCCUGGGUCCCCGCCCAUGGGAAAGCCUCGGGAGCUCUGCUUUCAAGGUACCUGGUGGAGUGAUGCUGGCUGGCGUGGUUCCUGAGGGGACCACAGAGAAAGCCGGACACGGACCCAGCCGCAGUGAGCUGCUGAGCCCCCCUCACUGUGGGGAGCACUGUGCCAAGAGUCACGGGAGGGAUCUGGGGCUCAUCCUGGGCUUUGUCUGCCAACUACGAGCCCUUUGGAAAUCCGUGUCACCUUUGGGGGCUUUAUGCUUGCUAAGCCCUGUGUCCCCAUUCUACAGCUGGGAAAACGGAGGCUCCCCACCGUAAUCCUGGCUCAUCAACAAAGCAGGAAGCUGCAUUCUGUGGCUCUUCUCCCUCGCGGGGCGGGACUCCAUACAGGACACGACAUAGACAUUCGCACAAACGUGCCGGACCGCAGCCAGACGGCUCCUCUCUGCAGCCCACGAAGGAACCGUCACUCCCUCUCAUUGCAGACAAGGACACUAAUGCCCAGAACAUGAAACCGUUUGCCCCGAGUCCCGGGCCAGGAAGCUGGAGACAGUGUCCCCCUCAUGGCACAGAGCACGGAUGGGACGCGAGCCUCUGGGACGAGCGGUAUUGGAAGCUGCAGUCCUCUGGUCUCCUCCUGGCAGCUCAGGAACCUCGCCUCUGUCUCCAGGAGCAGCGGGAAGGGGAUUGCGGCUUCAAGCUGGUGACAAAGGCUGGCCAGGCAGCUGUUGGAAGGAUGGACUGCCAAUCACACCGUCCCUGUGCUCCGGGAGAGAGGACGCCUUUCUGGGACCUUCGGAAGCAGGCCAGCAGUGUGGGGAGGGAUCGGGGCCUCUCGCCUGGGGCCGUGGGAGAGCCGGGCAGUCCCUCCCCUCUCCUGAGCCCUGCCAGCUGCUCCCAGCCUUGAGCUCUGGUGACUGUUCCCCUUCCAAGAGCUGAGACCCUUGGGCUGGGCAGCCUUCCAAGCCUCGGUCCCCCCUUCUGCAAAAGGAGGACCCUCUUUUCUUCCCUCCCUGGGUGGAAGCCAGGAUUGCACUGGAAAAGGGAUAUUCACAGCUGAAACCCAGCUUCUGUCCCUCACUGUGAGCUGUUCCCCCACAUGAUGUGCCCAAGUGCCCCCAGGGGCCUGUCACUCACCCCACAGCCACUACGGCUCUGCCUCGCCUGGGUGGAGGCCAGCCAUCGCCUCCCCAUGUGGGGGCCCCAUGGGCCCAGACUCCACACGGGCUCAGACCAACCUCGUUCCCUCACACACGGCCUCACUGGUCAGGGAUCCGGGCUGAGUGAGCCAGGGUCUCCCUCCCCAGGGUGCGAUGCCUCUUCUGGGAAGCCCCAGAGACCUCCUGCUCCCUUCAGCUCCAGAAGGAAAUGUCACCCCAGCCAGGGCCAGCUGAGGGUCACUGGGAACACGGGGCCAACAGGGCUGUGCUCCUUGCCUGAACUUGUCCUCACCACCCUGUCUGCAUGAGGGACACAGACCGUGCCAUUCUCCAGCCAUCUCUCCUGGAGGGGCAGCGAGGCAGGGGUCAGGACAGGAGCAAGGCAGAGCCUUCCAGAACCAAGGCCACGAUGAUGACGUUACCAGACCUUGAUGGGUGCACCGUGCAUGUUUCUGGAAUGGACGUCGUCACGCUCUCCGAGAGCUGCCCUGGCUGGCAUAGGCCUGCUCCGGUCACCUGCUCACUGCCUCCCAGAGACAUGGCCCCUGUCACUCCCUUCUUUACAGAUGGGGAAGCUGAGGUUCAGGUCAUCCCAGGUCACCGGCCAGGAUGGUCUGGCUGGAACUCUUGGCUUGCAUUCUGCCCAAGACCCCUUUCUUCCCCAGAUAUCCCUGCUGGCUCUGCAGUAUGAGCGGGGGCGGGGGGGGGUACGUGGGCGAGGAGGAGGCCCCACGGGUCUCACCUCCCUGCCUGCCCUCACUUUUUGCUCCAUCAGGGCCCUGGGAAUGCACUGAGAUCCCCGAGGAGGGAAUGUGCUAGAAAUGUGCUCCCAGCCCUCUGGGUGUCCCCUACUCCCCACCCCUCACCCCCCAGCGCUCUGCUCUCUCUCUCUGCAGGGGUGGCUGGGAGGGGCUGGCUUCACGGGGCUUCAGGGGGCACUGGGGGAGGACAGUAUUUACAGGGUUCCUCACCAGCCCCUGAGCCAGUGUGCACCCUCCCAGGGGCCAGCGGCCAGCAGCCAGCAGCCAGUGGGUCCUUUACCUUCUGAAAUGCAAAAUCGGAGGCUGAGUUUUGGUGCUCGCCGCCCUUCCCUGCCCCCAGGUUCCCAGGGUGAGGGUCGAACUCCUGCAGCCUCUGCUUCUGCCCCCUUGGAGCCUCUUCCAUCUCCAGGGUGAGGACUGAGGGCUCCCGAGGCAGAAGACCCCUACCCACCUGGCCCCACCCCUCACUCCGUCCGCUGGACCCCUGGCCACUGCCCACUCUGCACUCUGUGCCCUGGGCCUCUCACACCAGGACCCUCACUACGCUGGUGGGGAGGGCUCAGCCAGAGGUCCAUCCGCCCGUGCAGGGCCUGGCACCUGGGCAGGUGGAUAUUUGCUGGGUGCAGGAAUUGGCCCAGGUCUGCGUGGAGCUCCGCCCAGUUGACAGACGUGCACACAGAUGAAAUAAAUUCUGGCAACUGAAGGUAUCCCGUGCCUUCCUCCCUCAGUGCCCGGUGCACUGCAAUUGUGAGAAUGUGUAGAAGGGAGGGGCUGAGCCCGGAGAGCUUCCCGGCAAGACAGGGCCCCGUGGGAUGGCCUGGGGACAGGACACUGCUGGCAGGCAGCCAGAGGGGGAAGGGAGGGCCUGCAUGUGCCUGGAGGGGAGAGCAGGGGUCAGGGCCGCACACAGGGAGGCAUGCCAAGCCCGGGCAUAGAGGGUAUCCAAGCGGCCACGUGGAACCUCUGUGAGUCUGUAGGGGGGAGAAGGUAUGUGUUUACCCUGGUUUUGAACCAAGGCCUGCAGGGCAGUGUGGGGAGGACAGAAGGAAGGGCCUAACUCAAGAAUCAUGGUGCCAGGAAGGAAGUAGGAACAGGGAGGAGAGUGCUGGCAAUCCGGCUGGAUCUAUCCUUCCCUUCUUCCUUAGUAACAGAACCUCCUGUUAUUACAUCUACGGCCACCUAGAAUAAAGACAACCUUUUCCAAGCUCCUCGGCAGCUGAAUACACAAGUAGCUACCUUCUGACAAAUGGGAUACCAGUAGAAGUGUCCUCAAAUAGGGGACACCUCAUUUCUCCUUCCUUCCUGCUGUCUGGAGUGCAGGUUAUGGCUGGAGCUCAAGCAGCCACUUUGGGCCAUGAAGCCUUGUGUCUGGAAGUAUGAAGCAAUUAGAGUGUGGGUUUUUGAAACUCGUGCAGCCACCAUAUCUUACCCACACUGUUUCCUUGGGGCCUUUGGAAACUUCUAGUGUGUUUUGGGUUACUGUUAUUUUGGGUGUUCUCAUUCUCUAGCUAGAUCUAAACUUAAUAGGUGUAAGGUGGGAGGGGAGGGCUCAGAUUCUGAGGGCUCUACUGAGACUUGAUGAAGGAUGGAGGAGUGAGAAGACAGAGCCAAGGCCUUUGAGGUUCUGUUCAGAGGUGGUAGAAUGUUUCUCUCAGCAUACAUUAAGUGCCUUCUGUAUUUGCUGAGGGAGUAUAUAGGGGAAUGGCAGGCCUGUUCUCUUCAGGGAGCUCAUGGUCAUACAGACAGACAGACACUGUCUGGGGGACAGGCAGACACUGAAAGAGCUCUGCUGGAAGAAGGAGCUGCCAAGCUCCUCAUGUGCUUGUUCUGCACAGUUAUUGAGCACCUACUGUGUACCAGGUGCUAUAUUAGGUCUUGAGACCAGCAAUGAGCAUCAUAAACUCAGCGUGGAGCUUAGGGAAUCUGAUGGGGAAGUGAGACAACAAUGCAACGAUCUCAUCAUUAAAUGUCAGCGUAGAACUUGCCAAGUGCUGCAAAGGGUGAAUCCUGUGCCCUGAGCAUGAGUGGUUAUGACAGGGGCCACAGGAGGCCCCGGGGGACUUUGUGACACUCUGCACCACCGGAUGGAUGUUUCCGGGGCUCUCAGAGAGUGAAGCCACUUCCUCAGCGAGUCUCCCACUUGUUCCAGGCUGCCCUGGACCUUGGCUGCGGUGGACGGCAGACAGGGCCUGGCCAAAGCAAGUCCGGGUCCACAGGAUGAGGGGGCACAGCCGUGCAGCGAGGCCGUGGUGGAGGUUUGAGCUAUUGUACGCAGGGAUGGACACAGAGAGGAGUGGACAGGCAUGGGCCAUCUUUAGGAGUUUAAGGCGACAGGAGAUUUUGUUGACACAUUGGGGACGAUGAUGGGGAGAGGGGAGAGUCAUGGAUGGGGUGAAGGAGGGAUCCCUGGGGGUGUGCCUGCACGGGAGGAGAGAAUCUUGUCGUUUACAAGGAUUUUGAAAUUGGGGUAAAAUACAUAUAACAUCGAAUUUACCAUCUUUAUCAUUUUUCAGCGUCAGGGGCAUGGAGCACAUUCACAUUUUGUGCAGACACGACCUCUGUCCGGCUCCAGGACUUUUGUCCCUGCAACACAGAGACCCUGUCCCGUGAUACACUGACUCCCACGCCCACCCCAGCCCGGGCACCACCGUCUGCUCCAUCUGUGGUUUGGAGGACUCUGGGGACCUCGUGUGAGUGGGAUCACGCUCGUUUGUAUUUCUGCGACUGCCUUGUUCCAACGAUCAUUGUGUCCUCCAGGUUUGCGCCUGGGGAGCACAAGCUCGUGCUUCCUUCCUUCUUCAGGCUGAAGAAUAACCCAUCGAUUCGUCAGACCGUGGACAUUCGGGCCGCUUCCAAUUCCUGACUGGUGAGCUCUGCUGCAGCAGAUGCGGGUGUGCCAACCGCCUCUCCGAGGCCCUGGUGUGACUCCUUCAGGGUGUGUCCUUUGUUGGAUCCCACAAUGAUACUCUUUUGAGGAGCUGCCAUCCUGUCUUCCAGAGCGGUUGACCCACCUUCCAUUCCCACCGAUGGCAUGAUGGCUCUGGUCCCCACCCACCCCCCAGUCCUCGCCAGCACCCCUGACUGGGUUGUGACGUUUCACGAGACUGUGAGAGUCUAUGUUAGGACUUUGGAUGUGACUUACGACUCUAGCCAUUCCAGGGGGUGUGCGGUCGGUGGGUGUAAUUUUGGACCAGUUGAGGUGGAAGUCUUGGGACAUCACCAAGGCAAUGAGAAGGGGGUGGCUGGGCAGCCAGGGGUGGGGGUGCGGUGGGCCGUCGGCUGGAGGUAUGGGAGUUAUCAUCUGUGCGGCAGGGAUGGUGGAGGCCAUGCACGAGCGAGCUUGUGGGAGCGGAGGAGAGGGUUUCUACCACCACCCUGGUGGUCUGGGGCGUAGGGGUGUGGGGUCUGGUGCAGCCAAGGGAAGGGGAGGUGGUCAGCGGUGUCACCUGUCUCUAGGAGGUCUAAACACCCGUGGGCUUCGGGGUGAAGACGGGGCACUGAGGCAGGAGCAGAGCCUCCUCUCAGUCCCCAACAGAAGGAAAAAUCAGACACAGGACAGAGAGGUCAAAAGUCCAUCAACAGUAACCAUACAAGGACAGGGAUGCAAUCAGGCAACAAAUGGAGAUGAUGAUUCUGGAAGCGUACGCACAGAUAGCACCCCCCUCCCGGCUUCCAGAAGCAAAGGAGGAAGGAAGCAGAGUCCACAGAAUUCUGAGAGACUGUCAGGACCUCUCCCAAUUUUCAAAGAACUUGCUGCAGGGGUGAAGGAGUGAGCGAAAGACGUGCUCCUCAAUGUUCCAGAAUGCCCUGAGAACCCCACGGUGGCAGGAUGCACUCUUUUGGAGCUCCACGUGCUCUGCAGGGGGGCAGUCGGAAGCCGUUCCGGUGGCUCUGGGCAGAGCAACUGCUUUGGAUGCGGGGCGACCCUGAGGGCAGCCCCGGUCCCGCUCUGUAGCUCGUAGGAACCGCGCAGAGAAACUGGGGCUGGACCGAGCUCUUAGUCCGAGCAAGUGGAACCAGGAGUGUACUAGGAAGCAGAAGCCACACCGCACCACGGUACCACGGCAGGAGGGAGAGAGGAGACAACCCGCACAGCCUGUGGAGGAACGGGCGACCCACGAUGUCAGCAAGCGUUUGAAGAGACCAGGAAAUCCCGGCUUGGGUGCCUGGUGUGCGGAACCCGACGGGAGCGUGGGCCCCAUCACGCACAAUCAGUGUGAGCGUGGCGACCGGACGGUCCCUCAGACUCCCCUUCCUCUGUUGGAAUUCAAGUAAAAUUAGAGGUGGUAUUUCAAAACCAAAAUGGCGUGUAUCUGUCUCUUUCUAGGCUACUGUAAACUUAUGUCUGCGCAGCAUUUACCCAUCUGCCCUUCCUUCCUGCCAUCCCCCUGUAUACAAAUGUGGAGAGGCAGAGAUGUGAUGCUAUUGAUUGAACGGCAACAGCGGUUAUCUCUCUGCAGAAGGACCCUGUGUGGCUGCUCUAAGCUUUUCUAUUUUUUACAAUAAUGUGUUAGAUGAGGGCAGGAUCUCAAGGCAGGUGGGAAUGGGUGGGUUCAUUCCGGGAUGGUCUAAAUGUAGAAGGAGGAUGACCCCCCAAAACACAUCCUUGGAGAAAGGGGACACCCCCCCCCCCCGCUUUCAGCCUAAGGGCCUACCAAGUAUUUUAUCCCAAGGGGCUCUCAGUGAUGGCAGCCUGGACCCCUUUGGGAAAGCAGCCUGAGAGCCACAAGUUGGGGACCCCAACGGAGCUGACUAAAAACAAGUAAGAAAAGGAACUCCAACUUGUCACCAUCACGGGAGGAGAGCCUCACCUCUUAAGUGCUGUGUGUCCCGUGAACCAGCCUUUGGAAGGUCACUCUGUGCACGUGACCGUGGUGACACCGUGCAGAGAGGAGCACCCAUGGCCAGGCAGGAGCCAGCACCCCUGGAGAAAGAUGUACUCACACCCGUCCUCGAUGCUCGGGGAGAAGCAUUUCCAGAGGCUGCAAAUCCCCUAUGGAUCCGUCCAUGGCUGAUGAGCCAACAGCUUGGCCAGGAGUGAGGAUGACAGGCAUUGCUAAAGUGUGUCCGGUGACUUGCAUGGGAUGCUGUACACGCUGCUGUGAGCUCGUUGAAUCCAUGAGUGGCCUCUUAUAUGUGAUGUAACUAUGUAUGCAGGACCCAAGAACACACUGCUCGCCAACGAGCUGCUGUUGGACAAUUUCAUCCACACCGAUCGACGGUGCCUAUUUUCACGUUGGUCACAUGGUCCUUCUUAGUGGUCUUCUCUUUGGAAAAACAGAGGCGCCCCAUAGAGUUCGGCAUGGCUUGAGUUUAGAGCCUGUGUGUAUGUGUCUGUUUUUUGUGUGUUUUAUGUAUUCAUGAGCUUUUGAAUAUUCAUGUUUGUGGUGC